rnacentral:siRNA from 1 species
UGAAAAUAUCUAACCACCAGACUCC